UGCAAAACCAGCUGUAUUAUUCCCUCCUGUAGUUACAGCACAAUGGGACGAACAGAUUAGACGUCUUUAUUUACUUUUGACGGUGAAGGAAUCUGCCAUUGAGGUUCCAACAAAUCUUGAAGCACGCAGAAGGAUUGCAUUCUUCACCAAUUCAUUGUUCAUGGAUAUGCCACGUGCUCCACGAGUCCGAAAAAUGCUAUCCUUCAGUGUCUUAACUCCAUACUACAGUGAAGAGACUGUCUACUCGAAGAAUGAUCUUGAGGUUGAAAAUGAAGAUGGCGUGUCAAUCAUAUAUUACCUGCAAAAGAUCUACCCUGAUGAGUGGAACAACUUCAUGGAACGUCUUGGUUGUAAGAAAGAUAGUGAGAUAUGGGAGAAAGAUGAACACAUAUUACAGCUACGUCACUGGGCCUCGUUACGAGGACAAACUCUUAGCAGGACAGUUAGGGGAAUGAUGUACUACCGGCGGGCUAUUAAGCUUCAGGCUUUUCUUGAUAUGGCAAAUGAAAAGGAGAUACUUGAUGGCUAUAAAGCUGUUACUGUCCCGUCCGAGGAAGAUAGAAGGAGCCAUAGGUCCUUAUAUGCUAGUUUAGAGGCCGUUGCAGACAUGAAAUUUACAUACGUCGCAACCUGUCAGAACUAUGGGAAUCAGAAGCGUAAUGGAGAUCGCCGUGCGACAGACAUUCUGAAUUUGAUGGUUAACAAUCCCUCACUUCGUGUGGCUUAUAUUGAUGAAGUUGAAGAAAGAGAGGGAGGGAGA
rnacentral:sRNA from 1 species